rnacentral:rRNA from 1 species
GCUCUAUAACCCUUUGUGAACAUACCUAUAACUGUUGCUUCGGCGGGUAGGGUCUCCGCGACCCUCCCGGCCUCCCGCCUCCGGGCGGGUCGGCGCCCGCCGGAGGAUAACCAAACUCUGAUUUAACGACGUUUCUUCUGAGUGGUACAAGCAAAUAAUCAAAACUUUUAACAACGGAUCUCUUGGUUCUGGCAUCGAUGAAGAACGCAGCGAAAUGCGAUAAGUAAUGUGAAUUGCAGAAUUCAGUGAAUCAUCGAAUCUUUGAACGCACAUUGCGCCCGCCAGCAUUCUGGCGGGCAUGCCUGUUCGAGCGUCAUUUCAACCCUCAAGCUCUGCUUGGUGUUGGGGCCCUACAGCUGAUGUAGGCCCUCAAAGGUAGUGGCGGACCCUCCCGGAGCCUCCUUUGCGUAGUAACUUUACGUCUCGCACUGGGAUCCGGAGGGACUCUUGCCGUAAAACCCCCCAAUUUUCCAAAGGUUGACCUCGGAUCAGGUAGGAAUACCCGCUGAACUUAAGCAUAUCAAUAAGCGGAGGAAAAGAAACCAACAGGGAUUGCCUCAGUAACGGCGAGUGAAGCGGCAACAGCUCAAAUUUGAAAUCUGGCCCUAGGCCCGAGUUGUAAUUUGCAGAGGAUGCUUUUGGUGCGGUGCCUUCCAAGUUCCCUAGAACGGGACGCCAGAGAGGGUGAGAGCCCCGUACAGUUGGACACCAAGCCUUUGUAAAGCUCCUUCGACGAGUCGAGUAGUUUGGGAAUGCUGCUCAAAAUGGGAGGUAUAUUUCUUCUAAAGCUAAAUACCGGCCAGAGACCGAUAGCGCACAAGUAGAGUGAUCGAAAGAUGAAAAGCACUUUGAAAAGAGGGUUAAACAGCACGUGAAAUUGUUAAAAGGGAAGCGCUUGUGACCAGACUUGCGUCCGGUGAAUCACCCAGCUCUCGCGGCUGGGGCACUUCGCCGGCUCAGGCCAGCAUCAGCUCGCUGUCGGGGACAAAAGCUUCAGGAACGUAGCUCUCUUCGGGGAGUGUUAUAGCCUGUUGCACAAUACCCUUCGGCGGGCUGAGGUACGCG